rnacentral:rRNA from 1 species
GGAUAAGCUAGAAAGAGCACACGGAGGAUGCCUAGGCACCAGGAGCCGACGAAGGACGUGGCGAACAACGAUAAUGCCUCGGGGAGCCGUAAGCAGGCUUUGAUCCGGGGAUGUCCGAAUGGGGGAACCCACGUGAGGUAAUACUCACGUACCAUGCAGUGAAUACAUAGCUGCAUUGGAGGCAGACGAGGGGAACUGAAACAUCUAAGUACCCUCAGGAAAAGAAAACAAAAGUGAUUCCGUCAGUAGCGGCGAGCGAAAGCGGAGUAGCCCAAACCAGAGGGCUUGCCCUCUGGGGUUGUAGGACGCCGUCAUGGAUGCAGCAGGUUAGGUGAACCGGUUUGGAAAGGCCGGCCAAAGAGGGUAACAGCCCCGUAGCCGAAAGUCUGCGAACAUCCUAGGCGUAUCCUGAGUAGGGCGGGACACGUGAAACCCCGUCUGAAUCCGGCAGGACCAUCUGCCAAGGCUAAAUACUCCCUGGUGACCGAUAGUGAAGCAGUACCGUGAGGGAAAGGUGAAAAGAACCGCGGGAGCGGAGUGAAAAAGAACCUGAAACCGUGUGCUUACAAGAAGUCAGAGCCCGUUAACGGGUGAUGGCGUGCCUUUUGUAGAAUGAACCGGCGAGUUACGUUCCCGUGCGAGGUUAAGGUGAGAAGCCGUAGCCGCAGCGAAAGCGAGUCUGAAUAGGGCGCCUAAGUACGUGGACGUAGACCCGAAACCGUGUGAUCUACCCCUGCCCAGGGUGAAGGUGCGGUAACACGCACUGGAGGCCCGAACCCACGAAUGUUGAAAAAUUCGGGGAUGAGGUGGGGGUAGCGGAGAAAUUCCAAUCGAACUCGGAGAUAGCUGGUUCUCCCCGAAAUAGCUUUAGGGCUAGCCUCGGGAGAUGCGUCGUGGAGGUAAAGCACUGAUUGGGUGCGGGGCCCGCCAAGGGUUACCAAGUCCAGUCAAACUCUGAAUGCCACAGACGUUAUCCCGGGAGUCAGACAGUGAGUGCUAAGAUCCAUUGUCAAGAGGGAAACAGCCCAGAUCAUCAGCUAAGGUCCCCAAGUGUGUGUUAAGUGGGAAAGGAUGUGGAGUUGCACAGACAACCAGGAUGUUGGCUUAGAAGCAGCCACCAUUCAAAGAGUGCGUAAUAGCUCACUGGUCGAGUGACUCUGCGCCGAAAAUGUAACGGGGCUAAACACACCACCGAAGCUAUGG